rnacentral:rRNA from 1 species
GACGAACGCUGGCGGCGUGCCUAAUACAUGCAAGUAGAACGCUGAAGGAGGAGCUUGCUUCUCUGGAUGAGUUGCGAACGGGUGAGUAACGCGUAGGUAACCUGCCUGGUAGCGGGGGAUAACUAUUGGAAACGAUAGCUAAUACCGCAUAAGAGUAGAUGUUGCAUGACAUUUGCUUAAAAGUUGCAAUGGCAUCACUACAAGAUGACCUUGCUUUGUAUUAGCUAGUUGGUGAGGUAACGGCUCACCAAGGCGACGAUACAUAGCCGACCUGAGAGGGUGAUCGGCCACACUGGGACUGAGACACGGCCCAGACUCCUACGGGAGGCAGCAGUAGGGAAUCUUCGGCAAUGGACGGAAGUCUGACCGAGCAACGCCGCGUGAGUGAAGAAGGUUUUCGGAUCGUAAAGCUCUGUUGUAAGAGAAGAACGAGUGUGAGAGUGGAAAGUUCACACUGUGACGGUAUCUUACCAGAAAGGGACGGCUAACUACGUG